UCCCGGUGAGGUUCCAUCCUGAUAGCCCCCAGGCGCCAUAGCAGCAUGAGGGCACCCAUGCCUGGAAGCUAAGCAGGGUCAGGCCUUGCUGGGACUUCAGUGGCAGACCACUUGAGGAGACCAGGGGCUGGAGGAU
rnacentral:rRNA from 1 species